rnacentral:sRNA from 1 species
GCCGGGCGCGGUGGCUCACGCCUGUAAUCUCAGCACUUGGGAGGCCGAGGUGGGUGGAUCACUUGAGGUCGGGAGUUCGAGACCAGCCUGGCCAACAUGGUGAAACCCCACCUCUA